CUAAAGCACAUUCCCUUAUCUGAGAUUGUAUCAACUAUUGUAUAGGGCGCCGUAAUUAUGCUGGAGAUAAAACAAUGGAUCCUUUUGUUCCUCAAAUAAAUAAAUUAUGUUUGCUGCUCGAUAAUAUUUUAAAUCCCAUUAAACGUUGUCAGGAAUGGACUUUUUUUUUUUGCAUUGGUGGUAAUACGUGUCAACAGUAAAUCUCACCUUAAUGGCAACAUUUUUGUUUGUUGUUGCAACAUUGGAG